rnacentral:rRNA from 15 species
CCUGGCGGCUUUAGCGCGGUGGUCCCACCUGACCCCAUGCCGAACUCAGAAGUGAAACGCCGUAGCGCCGAUGGUAGUGUGGGGUCUCCCCAUGUGAGAGUAGGGAACUGCCAGAC